UCGACUAAAACCCUUGCUCCCCUUCCCCUCCCCAUCCCCUUCUACGCAGCCGCUCCCCUUCCCCUUCUACGCAGCCGCUCCCCUUCCCCUCGACGCAGUUGCUCCCCUUCCGGUUCGACGCAGCCUCCUCCAGUUUGCACAGGAUUUCCUUUCGAUUUGCUAGAUGACGGAAGCAUUCCCCUUCAAUUCUCCCUUUGAGACUGAAAUCUUCCCAGCUUGUACCAGUGAGACGCCUUUUCCUCUGGUUCUUGGUGAAGUCAAAGAAGUACCCAAAUCUUGUGAGAUUAGCUAUAGAGAUGAUGGGUUGUUCUUCUAAUGGCCUUAGCAAAGGACUUGAGAAAAUGUGAUCUCUAAUUGGAAAGACAAACAAGUUGUUCGACCAAGGCGCAGUGGUUUGUAGAAGAGGUAACUAGGGUUGUGGGAACUAUCAUAUCAUUGACUCAAGUUCUUCAGAAGAUGAGGGUGAAUCCUCAGAUACAAGGAUGUUCGGAUUGGAAGGCCUUCUGAAAUUAUCGAUGGCGUGACCGAGCCAUUAACUCCUUAUAAGUGUCGGCAAAGUGACAAGACGUAUGCCGCUCCAAUAUUUGUGGACAUCGAGUAUUGGUUUUCCAAGAAUUUGAUUUGAGGCAUUUCCAAGAAUAAUGGUAAAAUGAAAACAUGUAUAUGAGGCACAAGAGGCUGAGAAGUAUUGGUUUUCUUAUAAUUGAAAGAAGGAUGAAGGGCAGUGAUGAACUGGGUUUUGAUAGGAGCUUCAAGGGAGACGGAGGAGGAGGAUGCUGACGUGUCGAAAUCGUUGCCGAAUUCGGCGAUUUUGAACCGAAGUCGCCGCAUCGAGUGCCGCAGCACUGGUCGUCAUCUGCCGUACCGCAACCGUUGCCGCUUCCUAAUGAAGAGUUAUGGUUUCCGGCUGAAGGAUAUGACAGAGGAAAUGCGCGUUGUAGAUCCGAUCGAACGGGAUGAAUUCCAAGAGUCAUGCUGCACGUAUACUAACUGCUGGACUUCCACAGUAUGGUCAACUUGGACAUGGAUCUGACAUGGAGUAUUAUACUAAAGAUAGCUCUGCUAAGCUUGCUUACGAGGCGUAACCUCGUCUUACUGCAAUAGCUUCUUUUCCGACAAAACCAUUGUAAACGUGGUGUGUGGAUCAAAUCAUACAGGAAUAAAAAAGGUGCGGAACUUGCAAUCUCAAGUGGAAAAGGUUAAAUAAACGAUUCGAAGAGGCGCAACAAUCCCAUGUUGAAAUGUUACAAAACCGAGUCGAAGAGAUGGAACGACAAAUGGCCGAGUUUAUGAAAUAAUUUGGUAAUCCUAGCAAUCCUCCACCAUAGUUUAGUUUCUGUUUGUUGUCUUUUGCGGUUGAACUUGUAAUUUGACAACGAUGUCAUAUUUUGUGGGGUUGAACUUGUAGUUGGAAAACCAUAUUGUAUUUUGUGGACGAACUUUAGUUUAUAAUGGUAUCGUA